rnacentral:pre_miRNA from 1 species
UUGGCAAAGUCUGAAAAAAGACUUGCUUGACAUGGUAUUUUUUUGCACUUUGUCAGUU